GACGUAGGGGGCCAGCGUUGUUCGGAAUUACUGGGUGUAAAGGGUUCGUAGGCGGUGUGGCAAGUUGGGAGUGAAAUCUCUGGGCUCAACCCAGUGGCUGCUUCCAAAACUGCUGUGCUUGAGUGUGAGAGAGGCUCGUGGAAUUGCAGGUGUAGCGGUGAAAUGCGUAGAUAUCUGCAGGAACACCCGUGGCGAAAGCGGCGAGCUGGAUCACUACUGACGCUGAGGAACGAAAGCUAGGGGAGCAAACAGG
rnacentral:rRNA from 1 species